rnacentral:miRNA from 1 species
AGAUGUUUUGGGACUACAGUUCCCAUCACCCCUGACCACUGGUCCUGUUAGCUAGGGAUGGUGGGAGUUGUAGUCCCAAAACAACU